rnacentral:lncRNA from 1 species
UCAGGUUAUUUAAGAUAAGAUAUAUAUAUGUAUAAUUUUUUUUUAAUUUAUUCGAUGCAAAUAUGGAGAUUUCCAGUUAUAUAAAGGUACCUUCAUCCGACUGAAAGAUCUCGGAUUCGAUUUCGAAUAAGGAUGUUUUCGGAAUUUAAAAUCUAUUCUGUGUGAGAGAUCUGGCUCCUGGCAAGCUGAGAAAGAGGAAAGAAAUAAUGAUUCGUGCGAGAAAAGCUCAAAACUAUUUUACCAAUGCUAGUAAACAUUUUUUAAAGGUGCUCGUCACACUAUAGUUUAUUAAAAUCCGUGAAUGGAGAGAGAAAACCAUUAUAAAAUCGUUAAAACUCGAACGAUUAUAAAAUAUUCGGAAGUUUAUUUUAUGAUGUGUUUGCAUAACUUUAUUAAAUUUUUAUAUUUAUUAAAAAUAUAUAAAAGUAGUAUGGAGUUGUUAUUUUUGGAAAGAAACGAGCAGCGUGCAGAUUCGAUGGGAGUUAUCUCGGAGAUCCCUCUUUAGCCAUACAUGGCAUGGGAACCAAUAUGGCCAUUAUUAGUCAGCAGUCUGCAAUGUGGGGACAACUCCGCCUGGGAUAUCCUGUUCAUUCCACAUUUAAUGUUGAUUGGUCCGAGAUAGAUAGAUUAUAAUGCGAUUUAUCCUGUGGUCGGUAAAUUUUCUUCUCUGGUUGGUUGAAUUGGUUGACAGUAGGUGGGAUGGAAUUCACGUUCUGGAACGAUUUUUUUUUUUAUACAAUAUGGGUGGAGCAUUAAUUUUUUAAUGUUAUGCAGAUACAUAAACAGUAGGUCAAGGGGCAAAAACUUUCAUACCGUGAAAGAGGAAAAAUACUUGAAAUAUUUCAAUUAGCAUGUUUUAUAGUCAUUCGAGUAGUUUCGGUUUGUCUAUAUUUGGUAAAGUUUUAAUGGUUUUAAAAUUAAUGAGAUAAGAUCCUUUACGUGAAUGGAUUAUGCAAUGCUCCUCAUUGUCGUUUAUAAUUUUGUUUAACUUUAUACAGCGGUUAAGCAACUUAAUUAGUUUUCAGAAAUGCUACUUAAAAUUUGAAUUUUUUCUCACGUUUUUUUAAUGGAACUUCUUACAACAUUUACGGCUGUUAUCUCUUUAUAUUAACAUUUAUCUAGUGGAAAUGAGUAAUUUGUUGACAUUUUCUUUGCAUUUUUCACUCAGAAUUUUAUAUAGUUUUUAUACAAAGACGAUCCUGUUAUCCAUAUUCCUUAAAACUUUCUAGAAUUUGCCCCAACUUGCUCAGGUGUUUCGCGCCCCUUUAGGGUUUAUACGUGGCAUAUUAUCGAAUUUUAAAAAUAAUUCGGCGAAUAGGAGGAUUCUUGUUAAGAUAAAUCUGAGAAAGUAUCGAUUUCAUUCUCAUUUAUCGCAAUGUCACAACAGAAGCGAGUUAACCAUCCUGGUAUAAUUAGCUGAACAAGUAACGGUUAUGAAGAUAGAUAGCGAUCAAAUACAAUAUUUUGUCUCCAUUACUUCCUGGUCUCCUUAGAUUCCUUUGUCUCUGUAAAGGAAGAGUUAAGAUAUGCUGAACGAUCAAAGCAUUCGGCUCAGCAUGCAAGAAUAAACAUACACGCAAUAAACAUAUUAUCGCUGCUUCAUGUUCUCCGACCAUAAGUCACAAGUGUUGCCUCGCUUGAGAUUAGUUUUUAACGAGUCUGCUCUUUUAAUAUUUAUUUUUGAAAUUAUGGUACGGCUUUUGAUUUUGACUAUUUUCGAUUUAAUCUCUACUGUUUGCAUUGUUUCCUCCCGUAAUCUUCCAGACUUUUCUACUUCGUAAUCUCAAAAAAAGUACCUUUCCGAAUCUUGUUUUAUCUAUGUUCGCUCCAAGUCGGCGAUGGCUGAGAUCAUUCGUAUAGAGUUAAGAUAUUCAUGUUAAAGAAUCAAAAACAAUGAACGAUAACUUGUUGUUCCCUAUUAAACAACUCUAGGAUCAUCUGUAAAGUUUAUAACAACUUCAAUACAUUUUUAGCAGUUCUCGAUUAUAGAAGAAAUUUCUGCAUUAGGAUUUUUGAAAAAUUAAUCGAAAAAGAUAGUACAGGUACUGGAGUAUAUAACUUUAUAUAAUAAAGAGAAUUUUCUUUAUUACAGAUUCGCGGUCUACCAAUAAGAGAUAAGUUAUUGAUUUUCUGUUGACAUUACAUAUAUGACCUCAUUUUAUGUCCUAGUAACUUUCUUGUAUCGUGUUUGUACAUAUAUUCUAUAUAAUUUUGUUACAGAGCAGCAACAGAUAAUCUACUUCCACUUCUUAAAUAAGUAACUAUUUAAAUUUCAGUUUCUUAAUAUCAGUUUAAUGCAUCUGGCAUUGCUAUAAACUAAUAAUCUGGUUUGUUGUAACCAAGUUUUAGAUAUAACGAGCUCUGAGUGACAUGACAUAAAUAUUGGAUUCGUCGCAUUUUGUAGGCCUAUAGCCUAUACACAUAUUAUAAAUGUGACCAUUCGAUUAAUUUGUCGUUUAAAAGCUGCUUUUUAGGUAAUUUUUAAAGCAUAGGAACGAUUCAUCCAACUUCAGUAGAGAAGUUGACAGACUUGAUUCGCCAUUAAUCUAAAAUAGGUAAAUGCGUGCUUUUCUUAAUCCCACUUAAGUUGAAUAAUCUUACCUCUUAACUGUGGAGAGCAUCAAGUUUUUCAUCGAACCAGACUUUAUUCUGCUUUAUAGAAAGAUGUAUGUGGUAAAUGGGUACGAAACCGAACCGUCCAAGCACAUCAGACCGAAUUAGGUUAGAGGGAUUUUCUCAUUGCAGAGAAUAACAACCAAUUAACGACUCGUAACGGAAAAAAAUCUUUAUUUUAUUGCAUUUUGAUUUAUGAGGACGUAUUGUUUUCUCUGUAAAUUUGUUUUAAAAACUCGUAAAGAUAACCGUCGUAGACAUCCGAAGAAGAAUAUCUGGACGUUUUCGGAUUUAUAACAUAAUUCGGUUCAUCCAUUUUCAUUACGGUAAGAUGUUAGAAAGUAAAACCUUUAGAUUUAAAUACUUCAUAAGAUGCUUAAUUAGAUAAUAACUAUAAUUAAUUACUAUUUAACAUUGCAAACUUAAUAUUUACAAAUUUUCGAAAAUCUGUUGCAAUGUUUAAAAUGGUUCUACAAACUCUACAUGUUGCUUCUCUUUCGGAGAUUCAUCCUUACGAACAUGACCAAACAGUUAUAAAAGUAUGUAGAUAAAUUUAAGUAUCGAGAU